ACUCUCAAAGUAAUAGUUACAUUUUAAUUUCGACUUAAAACUUUGAUUAAAUCUAAUCUGAGAGAA
rnacentral:tRNA from 1 species